rnacentral:rRNA from 1 species
CCUACGGGAGGCAGCAGUGGGGAAUAUUGGACAAUGGGGGGAACCCUGAUCCAGCCAUGCCGCGUGUGUGAAGAAGGCCCUCGGGUUGUAAAGCACUUUCAGUGAGGAAGAACGCCUGGUGGUUAAUACCCAUCAGGAAAGACAUCACUCACAGAAGAAGCACCGGCUGACUCCGUGCCAGCAGCCGCGGUAAUACGGAGGGUGCGAGCGUUAAUCGGAAUUACUGGGCGUAAAGCGCGCGUAGGUGGCUUGAUAAGCCGGUUGUGAAAGCCCCGGGCUCAACCUGGGAACGGCAUCCGGAACUGUCAAGCUAGAGUGCAGGAGAGGAAGGUAGAAUUCCCGGUGUAGCGGUGAAAUGCGUAGAGAUCGGGAGGAAUACCAGUGGCGAAGGCGGCCUUCUGGACUGACACUGACACUGAGGUGCGAAAGCGUGGGUAGCAAACAGGAUUAGAUACCCUAGUAGUC